CCUUUUGGUCAAUUUCACAUUCAUAGAAUCAUAGAACUGGAAGGUAUCUUGAGAGGUCAUCUAGUCCAGUCCCCUGAACUCAAGGCAGGACUAAGUAUUAUCUACACCAUCCCUGACAGGAGUUUGUCGAACCUGCUCUUAAAGAUCUCCAAU